GUGUGCACACACACACCGAUCGGCGAUCGAUCACUCUCCUUCUCAGCCGAUCUACUUCAUUCAUUCACAGGUGAUCUCGCAGGUGAUCUCUGAUUUUUUUUAUCAUCACACAGCCGAUCUGCUUCAAAGGUGAUCUCUGAUUUUUUUCAUCAUCGCACAACCGAUUUUGAACAUUGCACAGCCGAUCUACUUCACAUCACAGGUGAUAUCUCAUCUCUGAUUUUUGGUGGACGAACAG